AAAUCCUUUCUUCGUUUGUGAAUAGCUUGUGUUUGAUACGCGCUAUUCCCAAACGGGACAAGGAUUUU
rnacentral:pre_miRNA from 1 species